rnacentral:rRNA from 1 species
GUGAGGAAUUUUCCGCAAUGGGCGAAAGCCUGACGGAGCAAUGCCGCGUGAAGGAUGAAGGCCUAUGGGUUGUAAACUUCUUUUCUCAGAAAAGAAUUAUGACGGUAUCUGAGGAAUAAGCAUCGGCUAACUCUGUGCCAGCAGCCGCGGUAAGACAGAGGAUGCAAGCGUUAUCCGGAAUGAUUGGGCGUAAAGCGUCUGUAGGUUGUUUAAAAAGUAUUCUGUCAAAGAUUAGGGCUUAACCCUAGAUAGGAAGAAUAAACUUUUAAGCUAGAGUGUGGUAGAGGCAGAGGGAAUUCCCGGUGGAGCGGUGAAAUGCGUAGAUAUCGGGAGGAACACCAAAGGCGAAGGCACUCUGCUGGGCCAAUACUAACACUGAGAGACGAAAGCGAGGGGAGCAAAUGGGAUUAGAAACCCUUGUAGUCC